GUGUCCGUGAGUUGCGAUCGCGAGAGAAAUAGCAAAGAGAAGCCAGGAAGCCUUUGGCCAAGGAGUUCUUGAGCGUGUGCGUCGUCCACGCCCUAGAACCUUGCGGAUCCUCCCUACACGGCAGCAACAGCAAUGUGCUCCAUGUUCAGCAGCCUCAAUUUCGUAAGCCUCCCCGUCGCUUCUUCCAGAAAGAAGCCUCUUCUAGGUUAGAUAUAUUCUGACCUUGUUCCGUUGCAUCUUCUUGUUUAUGUUGCAGUUGGCUGCGGCGUCAGGUUUAGGCGGGAGCGUCAUCCACGGCCCCGUCAAGCUCACCACCCUCAAGGUAACUGACUCCCCUUUGCCUCCUUUGCUUGUACCGCAACUUUAAGUUCCUGUAAAAGUGCCAAACUAAAUAAGUUUUCUUUUGUGUGUGUGUGCAUGUAACUGUAGUAGUAUUUCUCUUCUUUAGGAUUCCUUGUUGCUAUAUAUCUAGUUCCUUAUUGUUAUCUUCUGUACUAUGAUAUAACCGCCGACUCUCCGUUGCUGAUACAGCCACGAGAAAUCAUGGAUCAGCGCCUCAUCAAACGAGGUGAUACGGUGGUCGCUCAAGCCAAGGUUCGUUGGACCGUGUUUCCCUCGCUGUCAACCUGGGAGGAUACAGAAGACUUGAAGCUGAACUUUCCACAUCUGGUUGUACCUCACAAUGACGGAGGAGCGAAUACUAGCGUCCGACCCGCAAACUGAAAGUAAUACUCCCUCCGUCCUAAAAUAAUUAUCUCAAUUUAUACUAGCUUUAAUAUAAAAUUGUAUUAAGCUUAAGACAUUUAUUUUAAAACAAAUGGAGU
rnacentral:lncRNA from 1 species